UAGAUGAUGGCGACCGGCGCACGGGUGCGUAACGCGUGUGUAACCUGCCUGUAAUUAGGGGAUAGCUCGGUGAAAGUCGAAUUAAUACCCUAUAUUCUAUUUUAUCCGCAUGGGUUUUAUAGGAAAGAUUUAUUGAUUACAGAUGGGCAUGCGUUCCAUUAGCUUGUUGGUGAGGUAACGGCUCACCAAGGCAACGAUGGAUAGGGGGACUGAGAGGUUGACCCCCCACACUGGUACUGAGACACGGACCAGACUCCUACGGGAGGCAGCAGUGAGGAAUAUUGGUCAAUGGGCGGAAGCCUGAACCAGCCAAGUCGCGUGAAGGAAGACGGUCCUAUGGAUUGUAAACUUCUUUUGUAGAGGAAUAAUGGCGUCCACGUGUGGAUGAGAGGAAUGUACUCUACGAAUAAGUAUCGGCUAACUCCGUGCCAGCAGCCGCGGUAAUACGGAGGAUACGAGCGUUAUCCGGAUUUAUUGGGUUUAAAGGGUGCGUAGGUGGCGAACUAAGUCAGUGGUGAAAAGCUGCAGCUCAACUGUAGUCUUGCCGUUGAAACUGGUUUGCUCGAGAGGAGACGAGGUAUGCGGAAUGUGUGGUGUAGCGGUGAAAUGCAUAGAUAUCACACAGAACGCCGAUUGCGAAGGCAGCGUACCAGGCUCUAUCUGACACUGAGGCACGAAAGCGUGGGUAUCAAACAGGAUUAGAUACCCUGGUAGUCCACGCUGUAAACGAUGAAUACU
rnacentral:rRNA from 1 species